AUAGGACAGACAUGUCAGAACUUUUGGGGGCCCAUCGGUUGUAGUGAAUCUGUUAUUCAAUGUGUUGGUUGGUAUCACAUUUGAUCAGUUAUCCCCAGUGUGUUUGUAUUUCAAGUGUGUGUCCAGGUGAGUGAGUGUGUGUGUCCAGGUGAGUGAGUGUGUGUGUCCAGGUGAGUGAGUGUGUGUCCAGGUGAGUGAGUGUGUGUCCAGGUGAGAGAGUGUGUGUCCAGGUGAGUGAGUGUGUGUCCAGGUGAGUGAGUGUGUGUCCAGGUGAGAGUGUGUGUCCAGGUGAGUGUGUGUGUCCAGGUGAGUGUUACCUUCUGGCGCCCGG